rnacentral:misc_RNA from 1 species
UCCGGCUUGUCGCCGGCAGUCUCUCUAGAGUGCCCAUCCAAAAUGCUGGCAACUAGUGAUAAGGGUUGCGCUCGUUACCGGACUUAACCGGACACCUCACGGCACGAGCUGACGACAGCCAUGCAGCACCUGUACUGGCCAUGUGGAGACAAGCCCCACAUCACCCCACGCUUUCACGUAGGCUUAAGCCAGUAUGUCAAACCCUGGUAAGGUUCUUCGCUUAGCAUCGAAUUAAACCACAUGCUCCACCGCUUGUGCGGGCCCCCGCCAAUUCCUUUGAGUUUCAGCCUUGCGACCAUACUCCCCAGGCGGGAUGCUUAAUGCGUUAGCUGCGGCACGGAGGUUUACACCCCCACACCUAGCAUCCAUCGUUUAGGGCGUGGACUAC